UCCUGCUCUUUUUUCUCAGCCAGUAGCAAUAUCACUGGUGAUGUCGAUCUUAGCAGGAGCUUCUAUUUUGUUUCUCUCUUCCCCAUCUACGCUCGCAUCUCUUGCUCAGUUCUGCUGCUGAUGUUGAUGCUGCUUCUGAGCGAGAAGCACCUUUUCUGAAUCAGACGAAAAGAGCCUGUCGCCAGGUCGAGAAGCAGCGGUGACGACACCUAGCUGAUGCUCUCACCACCAUAGCUGAUGCCAACAUCACUAUUCGUGCUAGAUAAAGGACUAAAAUGGACUAAUGGGCAAUAAACACUCCCCUGCGCUUUCAGCUCAGGACUGACUGCUGUCAAACUGUCGACGGCAGCGGCCAGGUUGACAAAGGUUGCCCUUUGUAAUGCAACCCAAUUACCACUGGAUCACUGUGAUUACGUACGCCUAAAUAAGGUGUAUACGUGCGUGUUUGUUGAUAUCUAACAGACUCUUUAACAUAGGCUGUCUCCGUCUACCAAUAUGAUAAGGUGUGCGUAUGUAACAGCAACACCGUGAGCGGCAUGUUCCAGUUCAGUGUGAUAAAGCUUCACCCUGCUUCCAAUGAUGCCUACUUUUGUUGUCACUUACUCUAUGAAUUCUGUGCCUUCUGCCCUACCGUUGAUUAGGCUAUUGCGAGCGGAUGCAUUGGAUACUGGUUCGGAGCAAAAUAGGAACGCAAAACUCUUUAUGCAGUACGUAUCGUUCAACACGAUCGUACUUUUGUCAGAUUCGAGUGACAACUGCGUGUGAACUCGACAGUGGUUGUGUCCUUGACUAUCGCUCGGUUGUCGAGUGUUAGCAGUUAGUAACAGGAAUUCAAGCACCGUAAGCAAUGCCAUCCCGAAUCCACUGUCCUAGUAUGGCCGUUUUCUUAGUUCGAGUGAAAGGGGAGACCCCAAGUACUCGCUCUCUGUCUUGAAACGUUUAUUAGUGGCGGCCCGUAUGCGUCUAAGUGGUGCGUUUCUGCGUAACUAAAGCAGAAAAUGUAUCUAGCAUUUGAAAGAAGGAGACAAUAACCCUUUCAUCUUCCAGUCCUUGGAAGCGGCCGGCUUGAGGGCAGCGUUCUGAAAUGCCGCCCAUUCUUCGGCAGUACGCAUAAAGCGCAGGACAGGAUUAUGCACAUUGCGUCAUCAAGGUCCGUAGCGUGCUAAUCAGUUGAUGGCAACAAACGUCUGUGUAUGCUGUAUAAUUAGAAACUUUGAGCCCUACUAUCCACCAAUGUCUACAAUACUGUGAACUCCAGUAACACGGUUUAGUACAAGGAUCCGAUCUAAAAAUCAUAUCCAUAUGGCUGGACACAAUUACCGUACUUUUGGGAUCAGUAACAAAUAGUAUACGAGCUAUAGUAAAAUGAUAAAGAGUGACCACAAAAAGACGCAAUCGUCCGUAGCUGAGCCAUCUCGGUUUGAGCUCUGGUGGAGAAGGAUAGGUUGAAAACUGGCCAACGCAGACUGUUGUGAUGCCCUGCGAAGGCUGCGCCCGAAAACGAUGUGCGGCUGGUUAGUCCUUACUUUGGUCAGGCGAUUUCUUCUACAUAAGUUUCUCAUUCUGUUAAUGGUUAACGCAACGUUUAUGGCCAGUGAUGUCCUAGCUAGAAGGGCUUUCGGCGACGAUUUGGCUUUAUGGAUCGAUAAACGUCAGCUGCGCGAAUUUCAUAGCCCAUUACAGAUGGAUAUCUUUGUGAUAAGCGACGGACAGGUCGAAGCGUUGAUCCAGGAACCGACCUUCGAGCGCUAUCUGCCAGCGAUACCGGAUCACGUAAACACAGUAAACCUGUCGUGGCGUGCCGGUGACAAAAAGUCAUACACGUACGAGUUUCUCAAGCUGGAAUCGACAAAUAGCGGUGUCCUCAAAACACCAAAGCUUUCGAUUCCGCCCAGGGGACGAGUGCCCAAAAAAACCAAAGUGUUUCAGAUCUCGCUUGAAUGUGUAGCAAAUAUAUCGGGAACGGCAGUCCUAAAUGUCGCCUUCUCGCUCAGUCCAGAGGGAAACGGCCCGAUUCAGGGAAUGCCUAUCAGGUUCCGUUUGCGAAAGCAAUGCGUCAGCAACGUUCCGGAACCUGAGUGUGAAGAAAAGUGCAAAAAUGGACGAUGUGAUUCACGGCAAGUGUGUCACUGUCCAGUGGACUAUAUGGGUCGAUUUUGUGAAAUACCCUUUUGUCAUCCACCCUGCCAACACGGUGGAACUUGUGUCGCGCCCGGUGAAUGCGACUGCCCUAUCGGUUACCAGGGUCCACAAUGCGAAGGAGGGAUCUGUGCGGACCGUUGUCUCAACGGCGGUAAAUGUAUACAAAAGGACGUGUGUCAAUGCGGUCGGGGAUAUUACGGUCCGCGGUGCCAGUUCAGCAAAUGUUCGAUUCCGUGCCUUAACGGCGGCCGUUGUGAUGGAGUGAACAGUUGUACUUGCAGGAAGCACUUUCGAGGUAAACAGUGCGAAAUCGAAAUCCCCGGACUGCGGAAGCGGAGUAAGUGAUCAAAUGCUGUACGCUUACCUUUUUUUUUUACUAAGAUUCGAUAGGACGAUAAUUGAAAUGAUUUACUGUUUUCAACGCUCUCGCCUUGAAAAUUCGCAUAGCCAAAUAAUAGUAGUUAUUCAUUAAACAUUAAGAUGACGCCUGUUUCAUAUAUCGAUUUGUUUUGAGCGAUUUUUAUCAUUAUUAUCAUAACUAUGGUAAUUUAGCAAUUGAAUAAUGCCUUAGUAAGUUAGUGUAAAUAAAAACAACAAAGACACAACAAAAAGAACUUAGUUGAAGUGCAGAAGUUAUCACUGUUACAAAUUAAAACUCUAAUUGAUAUCACUAAACAAGGAUGUAUAUUAAAAUUAUUUAUUAUUUAAAGUUGACUUUUCACUUUGCACGUUAAUAAAUGGGAAUAAAAUGGGAAUGAUUGGUAUUUCGCUCGUAUUAUAUUAUUGUUCCGAUAAUUGUUUAUAUUAUAUUACAUUUUAUAACCAAUUCACUUUCCUCUCAGAGUUGCACGUUAUCUACGACUACCUGUAAUGCUAUCCACAAAUUUGACUACUUCAACUACUACCAACGCAACGUCAAAAGAUACGAAAAUGAAAUAGAAACCUAAAGCCCAUUAAAGAUAACAAACGAAAAAGGAAACCGGAAGUGUAUGUAUAGUCGGUUAAAUGCUACAUGAAUAAAGAUAAGGCAAAGUGGUGCAACCAGCGUAUUUAUGUAAAUAAUAGAAUUACUGAAAAUAUAUGCUAGAAAAACAAAUCUUAUUUAUUGUUGAUAGCUGUGCAGAACAGAGGAUACGAAAAUCAAUAC